AAAGGGAGGGGAGGAGGAAGGAAAGAGGGAGAGGAGGGGGAGGGAAGGAGAGGAGAAGGAGCGUCUCUCUCUAGGGCUCUACUCCCCUCUCAGAAGCCGUGACCCAGCAAAAGGCUGGGUCUUUCUCUGCGGAGGAUGAAGAAUUCCUCGUUGCGUGGGACAUAUGAUUCUGUCAUCUAUGGUUACAGAAGCCACCUGAACCCCUAGCCAUCUGUUAAAUUCUCAUGCUUUUGAACUUAGAUCUUCUCCCAAACUCUUGGCUCUGCCCCCUUAUCUGCCCACCUCGGGCUCAGAAUAGGCAGAGCUGGUUUGCUUCCAGCGCUGUGGUAACAUCUUGGUCACAAAAGGCUGGGGAAGUUUUCCCAUCCCUCCUUUCGGGGCUUUCUAGCUCUGCCCCACACCCUCUUCUCCAUCGCUCCCUGCUGUCUUCAAUUUCUCCUGCUGCUCACCUCCACCCGGUCUGCUGAAUGCCCGCCCUUCUGGUCCGGUUUUCCUAAAGUGCCUGCCAACCCAUGAGGGCCUCAGCUGUGUCUCGUGUGAAUGAAGCAGUUGUCAAUUCUUGGAUACUACGAGGAGAAAAAGGCAGCUGGGACACAUCCCAUAGCUGGCUUGGGGCUCAGCCCUCCUGCCUGUCUCAGAGGUGUUCUAACCUUCUGCUCUCUCACUGCCACGUUGCCAUUCCUGCAGUGAGAUUGGUGGCCCUUGAAAGUUCUGGAUGGUAAGCUCAGCCCUUUGAAACAAAACCGCUACGGAAAAUCAUGGCUGCCCACCAGAAGGAUCCCAGGUGGGAACUCUUUGGAAACCAUCCAGGAAUCCUUCAUUCUGAAAGUUUUUGUUUUUGUUUCCCUUCUCAGAGUUCUGAGGAAAAAUGGCUUGAUUCCACCAUCAGUCUAUCUUCUUCGUGUCCAGAGAGAGGAGCAAAGAGAGCACCGGAAUUUCCAUUCUUUUCCCAUCCUGCUUACAAGACAGGCCAGUUCUACUGCCGGAGCUCAAGAGAAACAAACGGCAGGAAAGGGAGUGGAUGGUAAAGCCAGUCGUGGGGGAUAGGCAGGCAGCAAGAUGCGCCUCCCUGUAGGUGGAUACCUAUUUGCUGCUAAUGUCACUGUGUGUGACAACUCCUCUUGGCUUCCUGUUCUGACCUCAUAUUUCCAGUCAGUGAGUCUGACAGAAGCAGACUCUAAUGGGGAAGAGCUUUUAGGAAGAAUAUGAAGGAAAUCUGCUAACUCACAAUGUGAGGCUGAUGGGACUCAGGUGGGGCGGGGGUUGGGGGGAUGUUGUUCUAAGCAUCUGAUUACUAGAGCCCAACAAAAGAGGAAAGGUUAGAGGAAGUAGCCAGGCAAGAGGUGGCAAGAAUCUUCCCCCUCCCCCACUUCUUCUUGCAGUCUGACAGAUAACCCUUGGUCCAACCACAUUGGUGUUCUCAAGAACAAACAAGGCACCAAAGGACCACGAAAAGAGGCAUGUGGGUUGGAGAGAUGACUCAGCAGUUAAGCGCGCUGGCCAGUUGUUCUUCCAGAGGUCCUGAGUUCAAUUCCCAGCACCCACAUGGCGGCUCACGACUGUCUAACUCCGUCAUACCAUACACCGAUUUCAAGGCCAGCCUGCUCUACAGAGCAAGUUCUAGAACAGCUAGAGCUACACAGAGAGAUCCUGUCUUCAAAACCAACAAAAAUGAGGUGUGUGCCUUGGCUGUUGGCUUCUGUCCACUUACAGAAUCAUCCUCUUCCCUCGAAGCAUGUGUGACUGUUGUGUUAAAGGAGCUGUGGUACACGGAGUUCCCAGGAACCACACAAUAGGGUCAUUUCUUAUCGAGCUGUUUCUGAGCCAAACAAAAAAAAACACAGCCAAGGGAGAAAGAACGCAGCUUUUAGAAUCCCUCUCUGGACAUAGCAAAGCAUUACAGAGGCUCAUCUUUUGCAUUGACAUUCUGGAUAAUACCAGCUCCUGGGCAGGUUUUCUUUUUAAAGCCUAUAUCUGUAUACUUUAAAUACAUAUAGGUUUAAACAUCUAAAAUAUAGGAUAUGUAUAUUAAUGUAUUUUUAAAUUCUAAAAAGAAUAUACGAGCCAAAGGAGAACAGGGGACCAGGCAGGGUGAGGGCAUGUGUACUGUGUUUCAGACAAGACAAGACAAUGCGUGUUUACGUCCACACUCUAGUGUGUAUUUGCAUGUGUUUGCAUGUAUUUGCGUAUUGUUUACAUACAGGCAGAAAUAGUCACUUUCCAGAAUGAACUACGACUUCACAGGUACCAUACAGAAUAUGAUAUCACGCACACAUGGGUAAGAUAAAAUGUGAAGAAGGGGGUGAAAGAGAGGAAGGAGGAGGAGGUAUAGAUUGCCCUGCACUUAGUCUGAGAUGUGAAAAGCACUACAGGGAGAACUGACCAAUUAAAUAAACCCACCCACUUGUGGAUGGAAGGGAAUGUUGGGAGGGUAACAGCUUUCCUCUGGUUUGUGGAGUCACCACAGACACAUUCAAAAUUCCAAAAGGUUUUUUUUGUUGUUGUUUUGGGGCUUUUUGGGUUUUGUUUUUUUGAGAUAAGGUCUCACUAUGUAGCUCUGGCAGACCUGGGACUUGCUCUAUUCCUCGAACUCACUAGAAAGCUACUUGCCUCUGCCCUCUGAGUGCUUGAGCCUAACACAAAGACUUUUUUUUUUUUCAAAUGUAGAUAGACAACUCAAUUCUAGCGUGGAUGAGACUCCAAAUGGUUGAGAAGAGGAGCCAGCUCAUUCUUUAAAGAAAACAAGAUAUAAGAACUUGCCUUCUCAUAGGUCCUAUAGCUACGAAACCAAAUCAAAGUGGAGCUGGCACACAGGCAAUAGUGAGAUCAAUGGAAGGAAAAGUCAAAUAGGUCUCCCAGUCCAAUAGGUGAGCAGGUUAGUGCUGAAAUCCAGGUACAGUGGACUAUCACAAGUUGUCCUCUGGCCUGCACACACACCCACAACAUGUGCGGCCCCUCCCCCCAAUAACUAAUUUCAACAACUGUGAAAGGAAGAAUUCUCCAGCUAGGAAACUGAACUCCCAUUUCAUAGCUACGAAAAAGAAGUCAGCGCCAUACAUAUUAGAGGCCAAGAGUAAAGCACUAUUGGGCAAUGAGGAGGCUCGCUUCCGGAUGAAUUUUGUAGAUGAGAUACAGAAAGAAUCUAUUCCUAAGGAAGCUGACACCACAAUUAAGAGAGGAAGGCCUGCUGGUUUUUGCAAUUCAUAUCGUGACCGGAGGCCCCCCCCAUCAAUAAUACAUAAACAAAUUGUUAAUAGACAACUGUUAUGAUUUGGAUCUUAAAUGUCCUCCCUGAGGUCAUGUGAUGAGGGCUUGCUUGUUUGUGGGUUGGGAAAUGGUAGACCUUUUAGGAUUUGUCAGUGAUUGGUAGGAGCUAGGAGCGUGCUCUUGACCCCAGAGGGCCCCAUUGCUCCUUCCUUCCUCUUACCCAGGAGGUGAGCACCUUGCUUUUUUCUGCUACACACUCACCCUCACAAAUCAAAGCAGCAGCCGGGCCUCGGGCCUCGAAGGCCUGCAGGGAAGCCUGUGGAGAUGGGUCUGUCAGCUACGGAAACCUAACCUAGCAACCCGCAUAAAGAUGAGUAAAAAGGCCCAGUAACGGUGGCGCACGCCUUUGAUCCCAGUGCUUGGAGGCAGAGGGUGGCAGAUCUCUAGAUUAGAGGCCAGCCUAGUCUACGGUAGAGCGAGUUCCAGAACUGACAAGGCUACACAGAGAAACCCUGUCUUGAAAAACCAAAAGAGCAAAGAACUUCAGAGUAAAAUCAGGACCCUGGAUGAAACCCAGCACCAGAUCCUUUUACAAAGGACCCCAUCAUGUUGGUUAUAAGGAGCAGGCAUAUAAACAUCUAGAUCUGUAACCCAGUGACAGGGAAACUGGUUUCCA
rnacentral:sRNA from 1 species